UGUUUUCAUUCCAGUUUCAUCAACCUUAGGCGGCCGCAGUACAUUAUUGAAACUUCUUCUGUCGGAAACAGCCUCCCAUUCCCCACUAAGGUACACCAUACACUCCCCAAACACCACAUGUGAGAUUACACUGGGUAUGUUGUAGUAGUAUUUGUAGAUAUUGGAACUCCUUGUACUUCUCAAGAAUUGUGUAACCCUGAAACAUCAUUCGACGACAUUUGAGGACCUUAACUUCCUCAUGUAAAACUUAUCUGCUGAAGCAAUUUUUAUUCCGAGCCCGAAUAUAAUAUCAUUCUUCAAGCAAGCAAUUUUUCUCAUAGUGGUCUUAGUAAAACCAGACUUUAUGAAUCUUUUCAACCUUUCUGAGUUUUGAGCAAGAAGAAAGAUGUUUAGUAGUUUUAGAAGCUAGUACUGACUCGUAUAUUUUUGUAUUAGAA
rnacentral:misc_RNA from 1 species